rnacentral:lncRNA from 1 species
UGGACUCAUAUAGGGACCAGCCACAGGAGGGAGAGCAUCUCUGGGACCUGGGCUGCUCCUUAAGAGGCAGUGCUGUGUAACCAGAGAGCCCCUUCACCAGCUGGGUGAGUGCAGCUGUUCUUUCUUUCUGUCUAUGGCUGUUGCCCUACCUGUGAGUGCUUUGUCUGAUGUUGCCAAGAACCAUUUGGAAGUCAUUUAGUUUCUUCAUGAGCAGAACAAAGGCCAUGGUUUUCACGGCCACUUGUUGGAUAAUAAAGAGAAAGGGAAACAGUCUGUUCUCUGCUGGGUGGACUACUGAAAACAGCCAAGCACAACGGCUUUCCUUCUGCCUUUCUUUUUCCUUCAUCAAGAUAAACAUAAUAAGCAGCUGAAAAACGUAGGCUGUGCUUACAACAAAAGCUGGGGAUGGGCUACGUGAUCUCUACUGUCCCUUCCAACUCCUAUGACCCUGCGUCCUCAUGGCGGGACGCUGCAGCAGGAGGCAGGGAUGGGCCUGCACAGUUACAGCACUGUAGGGGCUGGGCUGAAGCAGUGACCGUGCUGGAGUGGGAAGUGCUGCAGAGCAAGGCAGGGAGCAAAAGCCCAAAGGAUAGAGCUGUUUAAGGUUGGACCUCGCAUCCAUCUUCAUAUCUUCUGAUAUAAGACAUUGGCCAGCACUGUCAGAGCCAUGCAGAUCCACUUAUCAGCAAGGAACUGACCAUUUACUGGAAGAUAACCUGAGAACUUGGUCGCCUCACCCCAGAGCAAGUCUUCUGACCCUGCUCUGUUUUCUAAUGUGCCCAUGCUCCAUGGUAUCACAGGUCCUGCCUGCAUUGCUAGGGCAGGCCCAGGCUCCAGGCAGGUGAUGGCUGUGCUGGUGGCAGAGUCCUGCAGUGCUCUGGGUGCUCACCAGCAGCUUGCUGCCUGCAGCACCUGCCUUGAAGAGUCUCAUAGUAGUGCAAAAAUGGAGGCCCAGCGCUGGGAAGGAAGUGGUGUGAUUUGUCCCCUGUGCACUUUCUCUGGGACCCUGAUACAGCUCUUCAGUUCCCUGCAAGCCUUUACAGCUCAUGACCUGAUGUUUCUUUUCCUUAAAAAUCUAUCUCCUGGGCCAGUGGUCAUCCAUCCUCCUGCAGGCGUGGCACUGGUAGCAGGACCAACAAGAAGAGGCGAGCAGGUGUGCUGCAGGAGUGCACUUGCUAUCUUUUAUACUUUAUAUUCACUGCAGAGCUGUUAUUGCAGAAGACAUGACUGGCCCUGUAACACACAGCUUGCUGUAACAAGCUUGUAG